UGAACGCUGGCGGCGUGCUUAACACAUGCAAGUCGAACGAGAAAGGGAUUGCUUGCAAUCCUGAGUAGAGUGGCGCACGGGUGAGUAACACGUAGAUAAUCUACCUUCAAGCCUGGGAUAACUAUUCGAAAGGAUAGCUAAUACCGGAUGAAGUUGAUUGACAUAGGUUGAUCAAUGAAAGAUGGCCUCUUCUUGAAAGCUAUUGUUUGGAGAUGAGUCUGCGGACCAUUAGUUUGUUGGUGGGGUAAAGGCCUACCAAGACUGCGAUGGUUAGCUGGUCUGAGAGGAUGAUCAGUCACACUGGAACUGGAACACGGUCCAGACUCCUACGGGAGGCAGCAGUGAGGAAUUUUGCGCAAUGGGGGCAACCCUGACGCAGCAACGCCGCGUGAGUGAAGAAGGCCUUUGGGUCGUAAAGCUCUGUCAACAAGGAAGAAAUUACAGUUAUCUAAUAGAUGUCUGUAUUGACGGUACUUGUGGAGGAAGCGCCGGCUAACUCC
rnacentral:rRNA from 1 species